AACGAACGCUGGCGGCAUGCCUAACACAUGCAAGUCGAACGAGACCUUCGUGUCUAGUUGCGCACCUGUGCUUAACACCUGGUAACCUACCCUUAGGUUCGGUAUAAUUCCCUUAAAGAUGUCCUCAUACCACUUAAUCUCUUCCCACCUAGGAUUUAUGGCUUUUGGAUGGGCCCGCGUUGGAUUCGCUAGUUGGUAGUGUAAAAGCAUAUCAUGGCCACGAUGCAUGGCUGGUCGGUUAGGAGGAUCAGCCAGAAUGGAACUGAGACACGGACUAGACUGCUAGGGGAGGCAGGAGUAGGGAGUAUUGGAGAAGGAGCGAAAGUGUGGUAAAGCAAUGCCGCGUGAGUGAUGAAGGCCUUAGGGUUGUAAAGCUCUUUUACACGAGAUGAGAAUGACAGUAACGGGAGAAGAAGCUCCGGCUAACUACGUG
rnacentral:rRNA from 1 species